rnacentral:tRNA from 1 species
GGGAGCAAAGCUCAGCGGUGAAGUGUGUGCUCAGCAUGCAUGAAGUCCUGGGUUCAAUCCCCAGUACCUCCA